UAGGGAAUCUUCGGCAAUGGGGGCAACCCUGACCGAGCAACGCCGCGUGAGUGAAGAAGGUUUUCGGAUCGUAAAGCUCUGUUGUAAGAGAAGAACGUGUGUGAGAGUGGAAAGUUCACACAGUGACGGUAACUUACCAGAAAGGGACGGCUAACUACGUGCGAG
rnacentral:rRNA from 1 species